CGGGCGAGGAGGGGCUGCCGAGAGGGUGGGCAGCCGCAGGAUCCUGCAGGAAUAUCGAGACACGAAGAAAUUCCGCAGGCGCGUAAACUGGCGAGGGGCGCAGGGGACUGCAGGGAGGAAACUCUACGCGGGGGUCAGUGGAGAGAAAGAACCUCGGUGCUUGGGACGGGGGGAGGCGGGAAGCCCCCCCCGCUUGUCCGGCCUCACCGCCUCCCCGACCCAACUCCGCUCCCCUCUUUUUUUCCGCACCGUGUCAACACCUCACCCGGUGUGAACCUGGAACAAUGGAGGCCGCACAGAGGGGGAGAAAAAGCCACAACGAAAUGGGGAAUUUGCAAAAUAUCUAUUUGCAGAAGCGGGGCGGAGAGUGGUUAAACAAGGGGCUCACACCCCCUCGCACCCCCCUCGCCCCUCCGAAAGGCCUAUUCAGGCCGCCCGCUGCGCAACCCCCCGCGCCGGGCGUGCGAGCGGGCAGCGCCGUCUGCCUCCCAAUUCACAUCCCAAUCCACAUCCCAAUCCACAGUCCCGCUGGCCCUGGCAGCCCCCAGCACCCCCCGACCGGAGCCGCGGAGCGGAGCCGGGAGCGCGCCCCUUCCAGGCGGGCCCGGGGGAUCCCCGGGCUCCCUCCCCGCGCUGGUGUCCCGGGGCCGUGUCGCUCUUUUGUUUCGGACGGUGCCUUCCCGCACUUUGAACCCCGGCGGCGUGCGCGAGUCCCGUCGGAUCGGAGUGCUUCGCCUUCACAAAGGUCAAAAUGACGCGCAGAUAUGGAUGUAUCUCCCUUUGGUUAUUGUCUGUUCUUCCCGUUGUACUCUCCUUGCUUAGUUUUUAGUACGUGCGCGCUCAUCCGCGUGUACUUUCCCAAACCAGCGAGAUACCGAUCUUUACAUACCUGUACAGUUGUUUCUACCUAUAAAAUAAAAGAACUUUUUUUUUUUUCCUUAGACAUUCAUUAGCAUUUUUGGAGGCAAGUAACUACCUUGGGAAAAUAGUUGACAUCUGAGCCCAGGAAAGAAGAGUUUGUUGAGUUUAUUGUUGGGUUGGUUUUUUUUGGUUGGUUUUUUUUUUUUUUUUUCUUCAAUAAAGCC